rnacentral:sRNA from 2 species
AGAGGUUGGGAGUUGAUUCUGGCGGACACGGCCUCGUUGUUCAACACAUUUCUUCUCAAGAAAUAGUAUGUGGAACAAAGCAACUUUGCGCAUACUUGCGAUGAUGUAUGUGGCUGAGCUGAAUGGACUGAUGUGCAUCGAGAGCUUAUGGUAAGUUACCGUUGCUCUCGCUCUCUCUGUGGGCCUUGGUAGUUCCUGAGGAUUGAUUCCUGAGAACGGGUUCUUGGUUGCUUCUAUUUAGAAAGCCCUUUGUAUAAAGGUGAAGGAGCUGAGGGAGGAAACGAUGUGAGACGUUGGCUUUCAGCUGCUGUCUAUGUAUGCUCCCUGUGGUCCUGGUCCUGUGGCAUCGAAUGUGUGUAGCGGGUAAUCAUGCGAUCUCUCUAGUUACUGCGUUGAAAUUGUCAUACAGGAUCUAUGUCCAAGGCGCUGUGUGACUGGAAGACUGCAUUUCAAAGGGACGAUCGAGAUAUUUCCGUGAGCUCAUUGGAGCGAGAGGGUAGUAUUACAUCCAAGGCCGAUGAUUUAAGUAAAAUAUAUAUUCACAGUCAACACGAGCUAGAACAGCAAUGGAAUUCAUACGUAAUUAACUACCG